rnacentral:tRNA from 1 species
GGGCUCGUAGCUCAGCCUGGCUAGAGCACCUGGCUUUUAACCAGGGGGUCGUGGGUUCGAAUCCCGCCGAGCCCG